GACAGAGGGUGCAAACGUUGUUCGGAAUUACUGGGCGUAAAGCGAGUGUAGGCGGUCUCGUAAGUCGGGUGUGAAAGCCCCGGGGCUCAACCCGGGAAGUGCACUCGAAACUGCGAGGCUAGAGUAUCGGAGAGGUUGGUGGAAUUCUCGGUGUAGAGGUGAAAUGCGCAGAUAUCGGGAGGAACACCGGUGGCGAAGGCGGUUCUCUGGGCCUGUACUGACGCUGAGGAGCGAAAAGCGUGGGGGAGCGAACAGGG
rnacentral:rRNA from 1 species